CGCUGAUAUAAACUUUUGAAAAGAAUUUUCAAUUUUCAAAAUGCCGACACCUACAAAUGGAUAGAUGGGCGCUUAAUGUAGUUCAGCGGCAACUAUUACAUAAAUAUGAAUGCUAGAUGGGCGCUUAAUGUAGUACAGCGGCAACUAUUACAUAAAUAUGAAUGCUCGUGAAAAUAAUGUUUAUGGUAUACGUUUAUAUAUGAUAUGAAAGGUUUCAACUUUUACAAAACCAGAGCUAUAAGUUGGAUUUAAACGUUUACUUUAUUUG
rnacentral:lncRNA from 1 species